rnacentral:lncRNA from 1 species
ACCUACAUCUGGAGGGAGAGAGCAACCCUCUGUUCCACUAUAUCGAUGAGUUUCGUUAUAACGAGAUUCCAAAAGCUAUAACAAGAAUUAGUCUUCAAUUCUAAUUCUACCAUCUUCCAAUCUUUACUCAUGGCCAAUAGACUCAAUGAGUUCCUUUACUACAUGCAUGGUUGCAUUGCAGGGACCCCUAACUGUAGGGGUGUGCAUGGUCGGAUAUUUUUACAAACCAAACCGUAUCCAAACCAAAACCACUUAAAUGGAUUCAGAUUGAUAACCAUAACCACAUUUUUCUAUAAACUGGUUACAUAACUGGUUAUAAAUUUGGUUAUGGUUACCAAACCGGUUAUUUUUAUAAAACUGGUUUAAAUUAGGUUAUUUUCUUAAAUUUGGUUUACAACCAGUUUUUUCUAAAUACAAAUUAAAAACUAGUUAUUUCUCAU